rnacentral:lncRNA from 1 species
UCCAGUGUAGUCUUGUGUCUAAGCUGGUGUCUGGCCACCAAAGGCAGGCGUGCAGGGCCUUGGCUACUGCGCUAGGUCUGCUGAUGGCCACAAGCCUUUAGUCCCAGCUCUGCCUUAGCAAUGGGGGUGUCUGAAGGCUCAGGGGAUACACAGGUCCUCUAGGUUCCUGGGGAGAUGAUGAGUGAGAGUUUCGACCAGGAGUGGAUACUGAGGAGAGCAAAGAUCACCUGGUGCUCAUCAAGCCGGACUUCCAGAGGCAAAGCUCCUUAACUGAAGAAUUCAGAAGUCUUUGAGGAAUCACCACCAUGGAAUACUAUGCAGCC